rnacentral:rRNA from 1 species
CCCUGCCUUUUGUACACACCGCCCGUCGCUCCUACCGAUUGAAUGGUCCGGUGAAGUGUUCGGAUCGAGGCGACGUGGGCGGUUCGCCGCCCGCGACGUCGCGAGAAGUCCACUGAACCUUAUCAUUUAGAGGAAGGAGAAGUCGUAACA